CCUACGGGGGGCAGCAGUGAGGAAUAUUGGUCAAUGGACGAGAGUCUGAACCAGCCAAGUAGCGUGAAGGAUGACUGCCCUAUGGGUUGUAAACUUCUUUUAUAUGGGAAUAAAAUGUUCCACGUGUGGGAUUUUGUAUGUACCAUAUGAAUAAGGAUCGGCUAACUCCGUGCCAGCAGCCGCGGUAAUACGGAGGAUCCGAGCGUUAUCCGGAUUUAUUGGGUUUAAAGGGAGCGUAGGUGGAUUGUUAAGUCAGUUGUGAAAGUUUGCGGCUCAACCAUAAAAUUGCAGUUGAAACUGGCAGUCUUGAGUACAGUAGAGGUGGGCGGAAUUCGUGGUGUAGCGGUGAAAUGCUUAGAUAUCACGAAGAACUCCGAUUGCGAAGGCAGUUCACUGGACUGCAACUGACACUGAGGCUCGAAAGUGUGGGUAUCAAACAGGAUUAGAUACCCGAGUAGUC
rnacentral:rRNA from 1 species